rnacentral:piRNA from 1 species
UCCAACUGAAGGAGUACGAAUGAU